AUACACAAAACAGAGGAUUUAGAAAAUCAUUCAAGGACAGACAAUUUAAGAAUCAUUGGUCUACCAGAAGACCAUAAGAAAAGAAAAAGCCUGGACAUAAUACUACAGGAAAUUAGUCAAAAAAGCUUCCCCAAUAUUCUAGAACAAGAGGAAAAAGUGGGAAUUGAAAGAAUCCACAGAUCACCUCCUGUACUUAAUCCCAACUGACAACACCCAGGAAUUUGAUAGCCAAAUUCAAGAACUAUCAGACCAAAGAAACAAAGAAACAAGCUGCCAAGAAGAAGUCAUUCAGAUACCAUGGAACCACAGUGAGGAUAACACAGGAUCUGGCUGCAUCCACACUGAAGGACUGAAAGGCAUGGAAUAUGAUAUUCUGGAAAUCAAGGGAACUAGGUCUACAACCAAGAAUCAACUGCCCAGCAAAACUGACUAUAUUCUUACAGGGGAAAGUAUGGUCAUUCAACACAAUAGAAGAAUUCCAAGAAUUUGUAAAGAAAAGACCAGACCUGAACAGAAAAUUUGAUGUCCAAUCACAGAACUCAAGAGAAUCAUCAAAAGCUUUAGGUGCCAAGAUGUCAUUCCCAGGAGACCCUAGAGUUCAAGUAAUGGCAGCCUCUGAGCCAGAAGAGUAGACAAGAUGGUGCAACCCAGCUUACAGGAGUAAUAAUAGGACUGUACAUCACAAUUUAAGAUAUCAUGAUUGUGAUUCCUGCCUUCUUUUGAUGCUGUGAAUGAAGACAUUUGGGCAAAGAAAAAAAUGGAUCUGCAAAGCAAGGAGAGCUCAAAACAUUGGAACACACAAAUCAUCGGGGAUAGGAGAGAGAAAGAGUUCCAUGGAACUCUUGAAGGAGAGAGUGUUGGACUCAGCCAGGGUGAUCUCAGUUUGUCUUUCCCCUGCUGAUGAGGAAAGUGAUUUGAAGACAGAUCACUACACUUUAUCUCUGGUCUUGACAUUUCUAUUUCUACUUAGAACUGGAAAAAAGACAGAUAUUGCCCAGAAGAAACUUGUUAGCAGUGCUGUUAUUAUCUACCCUUAGGAGGAGAUGUGUUUGUUCUUCUGAAGAGACUUCAUUUCAAAAGCCUUCAAUCAAUAGGAUAAUUUAGAAUUAGGGAGACCCUGAUUUCUCUCUUUCCCCAGUCUCAUCUUAUCUCCUUCUCCCCAAAGAAUAAAAGAUCCUUUAGUUAAAGUACUAGUUUGCAGGACUGGUUAUUGGGGGGGAAAUUACAACUUGCCAUUUGUGAAAAAAUCUCCAUUAAGACAGUUGGGAAGGAAGAACAAGAAGUAGUGUAGGGGAGGGGCUCAAGAUUCAGCCUUUUUCCUUUUGCUUACUAUGCUUACUUCCUGGUGGUCCUAA